rnacentral:rRNA from 1 species
CCUUGUCCUUAGUUGCCAGCAUUAAGUNGGGCACUCUAAAGAGACCGCCGGUGACAAACCGGAGGAAGGUGGGGAUAACGUCAAUUCAUCAUGGCCUUUAUGACCAGGGCUACACACGUGCUACAAUGGUAGACACAGAGGGAAGCCAACUCGCGAGGGGGAGCCAAUCCCAAAAAAUCUGUCUUAUUCCGGAUCGGAUUCUGCAACUCGACUCCGGAAGUCGGAAUCGCUAUUAUUCGCAGAUCAGCAUUGCUGCGGUGAAUACGUUCCCGGGUCUUGUACACACCGCCCGUCACACCAUGGGAGUUUAUUGCACCAGAAGCAAGGUUGCCUUACCCCCAACGGGGGGCGCCUUCCACGUGUGUGGUCUAAUGACUGGGGUGAAGUAGUAACAAGGUGAGCCGUCACCGGAACGUG